UUUAAUCCACUUCUUUAUUGCAGGGUCCCACACAUCGGUGAGAUGGCAUCAACAAUACCUGACGACGAUAAGAUUUAGAUAAGAAACAAGAUUACAAUGACCCUCAGCAAACUUUGUGUGUUCCUUUGUGUCACCUGGGCAUUUCAAGUGAAAGCCAGCAAGACGGCCUGCAGAGCGCCAUCUGUACAAAAGGCCGAAACAACUAAUCUGACUUGCUUCUUCUCAGAGGACAUCAGCAUCUCAAAAAAAGACUUCACGGUGCUUCACUACAACGGCAAAAAACGACCAGAGGUUGCCGUAGAAUGCGUGUGGCUUUCUGGACAUCUUCAGUGCGCU